AAAAACAAUUUAGUAGUUUACUCAUCAAUGCUCAGUUUGAAAUACAUAUUAAUAAAAAAAACUAUAAUUAUUGCUAAGUAAGUUUUGGACAAGACAAAUAUUAAACCAAGUAAAAAAAUAUCAUCCAUCCUAUAACAUUCGAGUUCAAUACUACAAUCAUAAAAAAGUGUUCAAAAAAUAAACAAAAUAAAAGCAAAAGCAACAUCAGCAGCAUUGCCCCAAACUCUCCCCCCACCAGCCGUCAUUCAUCAUCUCCCUUUUUUUGAUCAAAAUAUUUCCAAGCCACUCUUCAUCAAGAAAGGUAAGCAGAUCAUUGCAAAGGGCUUUUUGUCUGUCCUUGAUCUUCUGAACGACCUUCAUUUCUACUGGGAGGUAGGCAAUAAGUCAAUCAUUAGCCUCUAUGGAUAAGGUAAGCUCGUCAAUCAUCCCUUUUAUGAUUCCAAUAGGAAUAGGCUUAGAGCCUGAGGAAGUGGGCACUCCUCGAUCCUUAGGCACCUCCUCUUAACCAUGCAUCUUCUUCAGCACUUACUAGUUAAGCCUCUGGUUCAUUAAAUGUGUAUUUACUUUCCAAUAACUUGUGUGAAAAUUUGAGCUCAAGCAUUAAUUGCUCAUGAUGCUCAGUGGCACCGAAAAUGCAAGGAUUUUGUUUGAAGAGGACUUGAAAGAUCAAGGAUGGGAAUGGCAUCCAAUAUCACUCGUGCACCUUUUCAACGUGUUUAAUAAUUUCAUCAUAAACCAUCUGGCUAAGAUCAAAUUGCACCAUUUCUACAAUUUUUUUAAGAAGGACUACAAUCUUCUUACUUACAGAAUCACGCUAGCUGUUGGGGAGCCAAACUCUCAUAAUAAUAGCAUAUAGAGCAACAUAGAUUGUGUAAUAGCCAAUUUUGGCCUAAAAGAACCCAAACCAAUAAAACAAAAAAUAAACCUACCAAAUAAAUGAUAAAGUCCAAAUUGGCAGUCCAUUUUAUAAAUAUCAGGGCCCAAUUCAUUAAAACCAAACCCAUUACCCAAAUUUUAUAAACCCUAGCCCAAAUCCCAGCCCACUAUCUUCAAAAUUUUCGGCAGACAAAAAAACCUAGCCACCAAUCCUUAAGCCGCCGCUCCUCACCAGCAAGGCCACCACGCGCGCCACCACCGCUUGGCUUGCCUCCACGUGCCUCUGACACCUGCAAAAUGAAGCAAACACGCAAGCAGUAAAAACAAGAAAGAAACGACAAAUAGAAGAAACAAAUAACAAAAUGACAAGAAAAAUGGAUGUAAAAGGUUGUAAUCCGGCUUUAAAAAGCAAAAAUAAUAAGAGAAGGAGAGGGCUUACCUGGAAUCCCUGUGAUUGUGUCGCCGGAGACUCUCUCCGUUGCUGAAGUCAGACCCAAAAGGAGGAGAGGGGAGACUUUUUUCCUCUCGAUCGACGGGCUGACGGCGCAAAGGCUAGGGUUCAUAACCCUAGCAGAGAGUUGAGAAACAAAGGGGGAGAGUGUUUUGUUCUUUUCUUCAAAAAUAAAAGAAGAAACGACAGAUUGAAAAAGAAGGAAGAUUUUGGUUUUAUUUCAUCUUUGAAAUGACGUCGUUUGGUGGGGUGGGGGUUUGUACAUUCUCCCUAAAAGGGAAAUUUUUUCGAUUAGUCCUUUUCAUUCGCAACUCCAUUCAAUCGGGCCCCAUUUCCUGUUUUCUUUUGUUUUUUUAAUUUUAACCCUCAGAUUUCGUUUGGUUUUCGAUUUGGUCCCUUGUGUUGUCAGGGUAACUUUUUUCAUCUAGUCCCCACUAGUUUCGGCGCAUUUCGUUUAGAUCCUUGAUUAACUUUCCAGUAUUUAUAAUUUUGUACCCCGAAUUUUAACUUGUUUUUAACCAUGUCCUAAAUCUAUUUAAUCCAUUUAUUAACUUCUUUUUAAAAAAAAACAUUUCAUUUAUAUGUUAUUUCAAAUAUUUUAUAUGUUAUUUACUUUACAUCUAUUCUAACUUAUUUUAAUAUACUAUUUGUUUAAAUUCUUAUUAUUUAUUUUAACUUGCUUUAUGCAUAUAUUUUAUCUUGAUCUAUUUUAUAUGUAUUAUUUAUUUUAUAUUCCUUACCUAUUAUAUAUAUGUAUACAUAUAGUUUACUUCAAGCCUUUUUCUAUAUUUAUAAUUCUUUUAAAAAUCGUUUUGUUAUAUAUUUAUUUUAUUUUAAAUUAUUUUAUAUUGUUUAUUUUUAAGUUAUUGUACAUUAUAUAUUUCAAACAACCUUUUUCAUUACCAUUGAAUUGUUAUUAUUAUAAAAUAUAUUUAUAUUUUCUUUUUUUUAAUUCUUUUACAUAUUAUAUAUUUUUUAAACUUGUUAUAUUUUAAAUUAACUUAUAUAUUACUUAUUUUAAAAUUAUUUUUUAUACCUUAUUUUAAACCCAUUUUACUUAUUUCAAAUGAUUUUAUUAUUAUUUAUUUUAGUUUUUUUUACAUAUUAUUUUACUCCUUUUAUAUACAUAUUAUUUAUUUUAAAAUUAUUCAUUUUUUUUAAAUUCUACUUUGUGCGGUUAUAGAUUUUAAAAUACUUUUUUACAUUACUUAUUUUAAACUCAUUUAUUAUCAUUCUAAAAUUUGUUCACACUUUAUUUAUUUUAAUUUGUUUUAUACCUUUUUAUCAUUUAAUUCAUUGGUCCUUAUUUAUCGAUGUUAUCAUUUAAAUGUUGUAUGAUUAUUGCCAUUGCAUGUACUAUGAUUCGUUAUUUGUUUUUUCAUAUUAUUGUCAUUCACUUGUGUAAUAUUUUAUUCAUAUAUUAUUAUUCCAUGCCCAUUAUUGCAUUUUUAUUUCAUGUCAUCGCAUUUUGAAUUAAUAUUUAUCCAACUUGGAUCGCUUGAUUUUAUUCCAAACAAAAUAACGGAUAUCGUUUAAAUAUCGUGUUCACUGUUAUUCAAAAAAGAAAUAUUUUAAACAAUGCAAUGUUCCGCGUUUUGGAACAUCAGGAAUUGUGCCCUAACUUACGGGGUUUUUAUUUUCUCGUUGAUUCUAAAUAGCGAAAUAUCCUUUCAAGUUUAAAAAAAACACGGAAUUCCAAUUAAAAUUAAAGACAAACUCGUGCUCGGGAGUUCAUGGUAUCGUGUCCUAACUUACGGAAUGUGAUACUUCGAUAUCUCAAGACGAGAAAAUCUUUAGCAAUUGUUUUGAUCUAAUUCAAGCCCCUUUAAAAUCUACAUUAAUAAAAAGAAUCGUAUUUUAAAUCCGUUCCCAAUUUCCAACUUUCAACAUUGAGACGCUAACUAAUCAAUUCGGUACCAAUUUUGGGCAUGACGAGGGUGCUAAUCCUUCCUCGCACGUAACCGACUCCCGAACCUAUUCUCUCAAGUUUCAUAGACCAAAAACACUGUUUUAGUAAACUAAAAUGUUUUAUUAAAACAAAGGUGAUCCGAUCACACCUAAUAAAGAUUGGUGGCGACUCCCGUUUUAAUCUUCGCUUUCAAACAAAGUCGAUUCCCUUUUUCAAAAAAAUGGUUUCGACAGCUUGGCGACUCCACUGGGGAAUUUGAGAGUCGAGCCAUAAAUUGAUUGAUUUUUGACCUUUGUCGAAAAUUAAAAACUCGUUUUGAACUUAUGAUCCUUUCAUUGCAUUUCAUCCGUUUUUCUUACGAUUUUUAUUAUUUUUCCUAUUUUCUUUAUUGCUUCGAGUUUUUCUUAUGCAUAUAUCCUCGCACAUUGCAUUGCAUGACCGAUGUGGUCACACCUUUUAAGUGGGAGUGAGAAGCUAUACCUUCGUGAGGUUUUCACCUCCGCAUAGGCUAGUCGAUUGCUUCUGGGAUACAUCCGUACCUAUGAUUUCGUGAGAUUUUUAUCUUCAUAUGAUCAUAGGAAAAUGUAUUCCCCUGAACCGAACUCAAUCCAUAUGAGCCUAUAACGGGUGAGGACGAGGAAUAUGCUAGUUUGAGUACCCUUACUUUAGAACCAAGCCACAUAUAGAGAGACCUAGGAGCUUACCCUAGGUAGAGCCACUCCGAACCCCUAGUGGUCACCUAGGUAGGUACUCUAUUUUGUUUAUUCCUCUUGUACUAACGUGUUUUGUUUUUGUUUUGUUUAUAACUGCAUUGCAUUACAUCAUCAUAGAAAGGAGGUGUUGAUAUUUGAUUGCUAAAUAGAACAGUUUGUCAUAAGAAAACGAAUUUCUUAAUAAAGUGGAUUAUAACACGAUUGUUUAAAUAUGGUCCAAGUAAACACAAUGAAAGAAGGCUGUUAGCCCAUGAAGAAAUACACGACUUUGCUUCAUUGCCCGAGGAUUAAAACCGACAAAGGUUAUUCGAGAGCUAUCACGUCUUGACUUUCUUAAUGGAGCUGAUGAGUAUCGCGGAGAUAAGUGAACAACGAGUCACAGCUUGGAUCAAGCAAAAAGGAGUUAAUGGUGACAUCCUUUAGAAAAUUCGCAAGACUCAACCAUAACAUCCGAAUAUGAAGAGGGAUCGGUGUCUUCGCUUGGAAUAUGAGAGAAAGGCCGUAUAUGUAAUAUGUUUUAUGUAAAGGAAUUUGUUUUCUAGAAAAGUUGUUCUAAUGAAAUUGAAUUCAAAAUCAACGCCUUCCUUUCUUUUGCAUUCAUUCCAUACAUUUGCAUUGUAUUACAUCAUUUGCAUUCAACUUUCACUAAAGGACCCUAAUUAGGUAAAAUUAUUUUAGAACUGAUAAAGGAUAUAGACCAAAGGUUGGAGCGAAUAGAGCAAAGGCAAAUACAGAUGCAAGAGCAAUUUAUCAAAAUUCAACAAGAUAUGCGAGAACAAAUGCUAGAACUCCAAAGAAAUAUGAUUGGCCAAUUAACCCAGUUACUGGCCGGAGAAUUUUAAAAAAUGAGUGACUUAGUGGUCAAUAGUGAGGAUGAUAAUGAAGACAUCAUCUAUUCCCCAAGUUUUACCCCAAUAAGCGUCCUGACCCAACCAGACAUGCAAUGAGUACCCGUCAUUAUUGGACCCCAAUAUCAGGCUGAUACAUCAGGCUGAUACCUCGGCACUGUUGAACUUCCCGAUGGGUUCAGAUUUUCACUCGAAAGAUGAUCGAGCCAAACCAGUUGUUCUGGCAGAAACGAAGGAAAGGGGAGAGUGGACUUUAAAGACCCUGAAGGAGAAGAAAAAGGAAGCAAAUGAUGCGAAUAGGUAUAACAAGGGCUAUUCGAAGUGGGUUAUAGUAAGCCAGCCAAGGACGGCAACUAUUAGUCAUCAAGUCUUCCCAAUGCAAGAACCCGAUCCAAGAUUGAAUUCAGAAAAACACUAGUUUGCACCUAUCCCGAUCACAUAUAAGGAGUUGUACCAAAUUUUGUUUGACGCACAUGUUGUAUCCUAAAAUUUGAUGAUCCCUCUAGCGCAGAAAAUCCGUUACCUAACCUUUCUGUUAAAGGGGUAAAUAUUGCGAGUUCCAUGAUGGAUAAGGGCAUGAGAUCCAAGAAUGCAUUGAGUUCAGGGCUCUAGUGUAAGACCUGAAGUUGGAGGAUCUGAAUAUUAACGACAUAUUUGAAGAAGGAACCAGGGAAUUCACUUUUCCAAGCUUCUACCCUUACGCACUUAAGGUAUUUUGAACAAUGGGACUGUGGAAGAGAUCCUUGUAUUUUUAAAGCUAAUUUAAAGUAAUGCUAAGAACACGCCUAUUGUUCUAAGCCUAGGAGCAAUGAGAGGCCUUUUGUGAAAUAGGCUUAUGUCCAAAAUCUUCUUUUUAAUAAAAUGCAUCUUUACAAUCAUUUUGAGUAAAUAUUCUUUAUUCUUUCCAUUUCAUUCAGAUAAUUAUUCUUAGAUUCUUUUGUUCUUUAGAUUUUAUCUCAAAUAUUCUUUUAUUCUUCAUUUAUAAUCAUACCAUACAAAUAAUCAUCCUUAGAAUCAUUUAUUCUUUGGAAUCUGCCUUCGUAACUACAACAGGUCCCCAGAUAUCAAUGACGUGAGCGACACUAUCACUAACUCUGAGUCUCCUUUCGAGCAAGAUAUGUGUCUAGAGGGAUCUCAGGACCUUGAAGAUGAUAGAGAUUGUAGUCUUCUCCUGAUUUGUCAAGGAUGGUAGAACAAGAUGAAAAGCAGAUCCUACUAUACUAAGGGUCAGUAGCAUUGCGAGCCUAGGAAAGAAGUGAAGAUCAAAGCCUAGCUCACCACAAACACAAAGCGAGACAUCAUUGAGUUAUUCCUAAUUCAAAGACGUUUUCGCAUAAUCGCAUCAAGAUAUGCCUAAGCUACUAAGACAUGAGGAUGCUAUGGGGUGUUCAAAAAACACAUACUUAUGGUCUUACGUUAGCCAGACUAAUCUUGAGGUUUGGGUACUGCUGAUCCACCAUGGAAAGGGGAUUGUAUCAGUCAAGCCAUGAAUGCCAAACGAAGGAAGACAAGACUUCUAUGCCUCCUCCAUUUCUUCACAGAUUUUCUAUAUGUGGGGUAUGGAUAUUAUGGGGCCGAUCUCGUCAAAAGUUUCUAACCGAUACUGAGUCAUCUUCGGGGUUGUCGAUUACUUCACGAAGAGGGUGAAAGUCACCUCAUAUACCAAUGUUACUAAGUCGAUUGUCAUCAAAUUCCAAAAAAAAAAGAAAAAAAAAAGAAAAAAAAAGAUCAGGUGUCGACAAGGAAUGUCAAAAGGAUCAUGUCUAAUACGACUACACAAUGUCAAAAGCUUGCAGUCUGUUCAAAGAUUAGACACCAUAUCACAAUGCAGCAAAGGCAGCCAAAAAUAAAAACAAAAGUACAAAAAAGAAGAAGAAGAAUAAUAAAAACAAUAAAACAAAGGUCAUAGUGAAAGGCGAUUGAGACUUGUAAAGAUUGGCAUAAAGAAGUUACCAUUUACCCUCUAUGCUUACCGAACAUCGGCCAGGACCUUCGUUGGAGCAACACAUUCCUCAUUGGGUUAGGGGAUAGAAAUGAUUUUGAAGACGAGAUUCUUUUUCUCUGAGUCUUGUUAGAGCCGAAGUUAGAUGAACCCGAAUGAAUCCAAUUCUGAUGUGAUCAAUUGAAUUUGAUCUAAGAAAUGAGGUUGAAAGCUAUUCACCAUGAGCAAAUGUACCAAAAACAAAUAACAAAAAGGUUCGCCUCAAAAGGGAAACCUUGUAUUGAAAAAGGUCUUUUCUUAUACAAAAGGGACUUCAAAGGAAAAUGUAUGCCAAAUUAGGGAGGACCUUAUGUGGUAAAGAAGGCAUCCUUUGGAAGAGCGUCGAUACUGGCCAAGGUGAUGGUAAGAACCUGCCUAAUCUUGUGAAUUUAGAUUCAAUCAACAAAUACUUCAAAAAAAGGAGAAGAAAAAAGAGAAAAAGAAAAAGGAGAGGCCAAGGCGAAAACCCACAAAGGGCGCCUUGAGACCAAGGAGAAUUUGAGUUGAAAACUUAAAAAGGGCAGCUCAAGUUUGGAUCAAAGUGGGGCGUACAGUAGUCUUGCUAUAAUUAACAAUGAAUAAGUAUGCUACGUCUUGGGGCAUCGACAAAGUACUCCGGAUCCCCUAAACACAAAUUGGGCUCAAAAUGAUCCUUAAGAAGUUGGUACAGAGAAGCUCAAGCUGCGACAUCUGGGGCACCUAGUUUUCCAUUUUACCUAUUUUGAAUUCGCUAUUUUUGAUUACUUUAUUCUUUUCAAUAUACGGUUCCGAUAAAUUCCCUUUUCAAUUGCAUUUGCUAACCUUGGUUAACUUAUUUGUUUCGAGCUAUGCUUCUUGUCCAUUGUUACAAUCUUUUUCAAGUAUUUCGCAUUGAAAUAACGAUUAGUGGACUAAUAAUACUUUCGUAAAAAGGGGUUUUGCAUAUUACUUUGGAAGCGUCUAAAUAAUACAAGAACCUGAAACAAAACUAUUGUUUAGAACUCACCAAGCCUAAGGAUUGGAAAUAUUGGAGAAAGAUGAUUAUCUCUUUGGACUCUUUUAGUGGUUGAACAAAAAUACAAGACGUUUUGCCUGUGACGCCACCUCGACAAAUAACGAGCAAUGUCAACCUAAGUGGAAAAGGGGAUCAUUCUCAGGAAAAGAAAAAUGAUACUCUGCACUCAUGCAAAUAUCAAACAUAUACAUCUGGUCAUUACACCCAUGGAAUGGUGUAACAUAUCAAAUUGAUUGAAGAUAAAACAAAUCCUAUACCCUGAGUUACAGUGGAUAAGCAAAAAAAAAACUUUAUAAAGUUUCAGUGGGGCAAGCUUGCCGAGCAGAUUGAGAUUGUUUCUUCGGGUUUUCUAUCAAGAAUGCCAGCUAAAUAAGACGGCAGCAUAAUACGUCAAUGAUAAGGCUCUGUUGAACAACGAGUAAUGUUACCUUAAGCCUUUUAAAAUGAUUAUUUUCAUUUCUACAUUCAUAUAUCAUUCAUAACAUAUCUAGUUAGGAGCACUUGAUUCAUUUCGAUCAUAGCAUUCUAAUUAUUUGACAUAAGCAUCACAUCUAAUUAGGAACAUUUGAUUCAUUUCGAUCAUAGCAUCCUAAUCAUUUGGCACAAGCAUAGAUACAUGAAACUGAUUCUACAGAUCAUGUCCCUAGAGGAUGGUGUAGCAACAUCGGUGAAUUUACAGAUCUUGUCUCCCUAAAGUUGCAGUAGAACAGAUCGAAGACGGUGAAUCUUGUCUCCCUAACCAGUAGUGAAGCAGAUUUAAGCCACCAUCCUAUAUCCCUAAUCAGUAGUGGAGUAGGCUAAAGAUUGCAGAUCUUGUCUCCUUGAAGUUACAGUGGAACAGAUCAAAGACGGCGAAUCUUGUCUCCCUAACCAGUAGUGGAGCAGAUUUAAGCCACCAUCCUAUCUCCCUAAGCAGUAGUGGAGUAGGCUGAAGAUUACAUAUCUUGUCUCCUUGAAGUUGUAGUGGAACAGAUCGAAGACGGUGAAUCUUGUCUCUCUGAAGUUGCAAUAGUGCAGAUUUAAGCCACCAUCCUAUCUCUCUAAGCAGUAGUGGAGUAAACUGAAGAUUGCAAAUCUUGUCUCCCUGAAAUUGCAGUGGAACAGAUCAAAGACGACAAAUCUUGUCUUCUUGAAGUUGUAGUGAAGCAGAUUUAAGCCACCAUCCUAUCUCCCUAAGUUGUAAUGGAGUAGGCUAAAGAUUGUAGAUCUUGUCUCCCUAAAGUCGCAAUUGAGCAGAUCGAAGACGACGAAUCUUGUCUUCCUGAAGUUGCAGUGAAGCAGAUUUAAGCCACCAUCCUAUCUCCCUAAGUUGUAGUGGAGUAGGCUGAAGAUUGUAGAUCUUGUCUCCCUGAAAUUGCAGUGGAGCAGAUCGAAGACGACGAAUCUUGUCUUUCUGAAGUUGCAGUGAAGCAAAUUUAAGCCACUAUCCUAUCUCCCUAAGUUAUAGUGGAGUAGGCUGAAGAUUGUAGAUCUUGUCUCCCUGAAGUUGCAGUGGAGCAGAUCGAAGACAACAAAUCCUAUUUCCCUGAAGUUGCAGUGGAAUAGGUUAAAACUACGAGUUACAAGUCCUAUACCUCUGAAGUCGCAGUGGGUCGGAUCAAAUCUAUCAUGGCGAAUCUUAUCUUCUUGAAGUUACAGUGGAGCAGAUGAAAGCCAUUAACCUUAUCUCCCUGAAGUUGCAGUGGAGCAUGUUGAAGAUACAAGUCUUACCUCCUUGAAGAUGCAUUGGAGUAGACUGAAUAUAGCAAAUCUUAUCUCUUUGAAGUUGUAGUAGAGCAGGUUAAAUCUACAAACCUUAUCCCCCCGAAAUUGCAGUGGGACAGGUUGAAGUUAUGAUUAUUAUCUCCCUGAAGUUGCAGUGCAGUGAAUCAAAGCAACAAUUCCUAUACCCCUGAAGAUGCAGUGGGAUGGAAUGAAGCUACUCGAAGAAUAGAAGCACCAAAGAAGUCAAGAGUCAGCGAGAAUAGGCAAAAUUGGCUCUUUUAAGGUCUUUGCUCCAUUCUCGUUACAUGACGAUGAACAAAGAGGGGCAGCUGUAAUAGCCAAUUUUGGCCUAAAAGAACCCAAACCAAUAAAACAAAAAAUAAACCCACCAAAUAAAUGAUAAAGUCCAAAUUGGCAGUCCAUUUUAUAAAUAUCAGGGCCCAAUUCAUUAAAACCAAACGCACUACCCAAAUUUUAUAAACCCUAGCCCAAAUCCCAGCCCACUAUCUUAAAAAUUUUCAGCAGACAAAAAAACCUAGCCACCAAGCCUUCAGCUGCCGCUCCUCACCAGCAAGGCCACCACGCGCGCCACCACCGCU
rnacentral:lncRNA from 1 species